UGCUUGAUAGGCCGGAUGUGUAAGAAACGUAAGUUUUUUAGCAAACCGGUACUAACCAGUCGAGAGGCUUGACU
rnacentral:rRNA from 1 species